CUGUUCUUGCUUUGCAACUAUUCUCAGCUACUUGCUUAAUAUUACUAUUGAAGAUUAUUCUCAUUAACCAAAGAAUGUUACUUAAUGCUUCUCUGAGGAAAUACUUAAUAAUGAACUUUGUGUUGUUGAUUACUUGCACUUCUUCUUAUUGGAUUAUUGCCUAAAUGCAAUUCAUUUAAGUUUAACACUUAUUAAAACUUCGUCUGAAUCAAGUUACCAGCGAUUCCCUCUUUUCUUAAAGCUACAGUAUUGAUACUUUAAAGUUUCUCUGUAUCUUCACUAAUGUAAUUAGGGAGGUUUACAAGCUGCAGUUGAGUUCCAAGCCAAAUCACCCAAGUAGCGUAACACAAACACACGUCAACCCCUGUGAGAACAAUUGAUGCAGCAAGGAAAGAGAGGCUAUGUAGUCUUGCUUUUUGUUUUGUCACUGGGCAUUUUAUUUUUCACUAAUGGUUAGCAUGUUGCUUUGAUGGUUCACUUACUUUGAUUUUUACUUCUGAUCUUUCCUCCUAUGUCUGUCUAGCAAGCUUAACAGGGAGAGAGGCUUUGAUAGUUUAACUUUUUGCCAGUUUUUUUUUUACUGGUUAUAGAAUUUUUCAUCUUUCUCUAAUAGGCUAUACCUAUGUGGCCACCUGGCCACCCAACAGGCUUUAUUUGACUCAUUUAAAUAGCCCUUCAUGCCUCAUACAGGCUGACAUUACCUUGACUCUUAGGUACAUUUGUUGCUAUAUAUACUGAUUGACUACAUAGCCUCUCUUUCCUUGCAGCAAUCAAUUGUUCUCACAGGGGCUGACGUGUGUUUUUAUGUAGAGCCAUAUUUAAUAAAGCUCCUUUUUAUUGUGAUACCAGCCUUGUGAGACUUUGUAUAAUACUUAUUUUGAGAUAGGAGAUUUACCGUACAAGGUGUUUAUUGUAGUGUAAUGUAUUUAUUUUUUCUUUUAAUACUGUACUGCAGAAUCUCAGAGGACAAUUCAUUCGCUACAGGUUAAUUACUUUAUAUUUAUAUUUAGCAAUACUACUAUCUAUAUCUCCAGGAAGCAUUGUAUGUUCCCUUGUGGUGAACCUGCAUGCUCUGUUUUGUUUUGUCUUUCUUGAUUAUCUGGGGUUAUGCCCUGAGAGACCCCUGGAGUCUCUCUUUGGUGCCUAGGAGCACUGGGAACAGUUAGACACAUUUCACUUAGAAUUGUGUCUAUAGUUGUUUCCCUUUGGUAUCCCAUCGCUAUACUAAAUAAUUAUUUAGCCAAAACUGCAAGGAAAGAGUCUUGAGAAAAGUCUAUUGUGACUGAAACGUCGA